CCCACUUCUGACUUCUACUGAGAAAUAAACAGCUAUUACUCAGUCAUUUUAUUUGUCAGAACAACUACUUUUUGUUAACUCAUUCGUGCUAAUUCUAUUCCGUUGUUCUAUUUUUGCCUUAACGAAUUCAAAUCAUGAACGGACCAAUCGGAUGCCUCAAUUAAACUAUGUGGUGAAUGUUCAAACCUUUUGAUUGACCGAAAGGGGCGUGGUCUUCUAACAAGCUUGCCUCUGAUUGGAGAGAGUGGUUGCCAUGGAAAUACAGACCAAUCACUGCUUAAUGAUGACAACUGGUUCCAACAUAGUGUAUCGUGAUAAAAUGGCGACCGAGUUGACUCAAUUUGGUUGGAGCUAGAAGUAGCAUCGGCUUACCGGACCCAACAAAAGCAGUUGAGCGGCAAUCGAGCAUUGUACGGCUGCAAGGCACAAACUCCUAAUUAGGAAGACGAAUGCACAUGAGAGUAAUGAUGCAAAAGCAUAAACACCAGAUGGAAGUCGACUCUACCCAUUUGUCCCACACCUUUCUAAUCCCUGCCAGUUUGUCUUGUUGAUGGCGGCCUGCUUUUGUAUCGCUGUUGUCAAAACAAAUCAUCCAUGACAAGCAACUUUGCAGUGACAUGGUAGCCCAAAAUGUUGUCUGACCAGACUCUGCAAAACCUGCAGGGUAGUAAGUACCUGCCAAAAAUCACAGACCCAUGUACUUUAUGGCCUAAUGUCUGUUUGGGUUACUGAUUUACGUAUAUUAUAAUUCCAUUCUUCCUCCAAGUUUGGCAGGUUUAUUUUUUAGCACAAUAGACAUAUUAUGUUGUUUCCAUGGUAAUAAUGCCUGAACUUAAAAAAAAAAAAAACAAGUUGAAAAACAACUUAAAGUAUUUUAUACUAAAGAGAUAGGGUAACGGUUGGGUAUGCUUUUAUCAUAGUCUACUCAUGUAAUUCUAAAAGUAAUUUUACUAUUGCUUUUUUUAACCAGAAAACCUAUUAGUGAGUUGAUGGUGUUGAAACCUUUUCUGUGGGCAUUUUCUUUAAGACUAACUCCAAUAAAAAUUGUAUUUUGGGUGUUUUUAACAUGUUCUUGUAGUUUUUUUUUUUUUUUUUUAUGACAGAGGACAUACUCUGUAUAGAAAGUCAUAAAUGAUCACUAUUUCUUGUUUGCAACUAUUGUGAUUUAGGAGCAAACAAAAAAAAAGCUUUUGAGAAAUAUUGUAGACGACUAGAUUUAUGUACAUCUUUGUUUUCUUCC